rnacentral:lncRNA from 1 species
CUUGUCCCUGAUGUCAAAAUAUCAGUGACUAGAACCCUAUUUAAACAUAAACACUGAUCAAUAAAACUUUAAAUAAAAAUAUAAUAUAGGUGAGAUCAUAAAUAUCCACUUUAUUCUAAAACACAAACACAUUGAUAUCACUCCUCAAUCUUGUUUUGAGGAUAACCUGCAUAUAAUAAUAGAAAAGAAACAUGUAGAAAAUAGGGGGUGAGAUUUUAUAAUAGAAAAAGAUAUGUUUGAAUAUAAUAUAUAGAGAAAUAGGAUAUAAGUGGGUAGUUGGAAUGGAACCCGUAUCAUUAGCUUGGAUGGCUAGGGUUUAUAGUCAAUGAAAGUUUCUAUUUAAAAAUUGAACGUGAAAAUUUUGUUUCAUUUAGGGCCUUUGUAGAAUAAUUUAAGAGAUAGAUGAAAUACAUGAAGAAGAAAAUGGCAAUUAACAUCUAUGCAAGCCUUUCGGUAUGAAUACAUAUGUUAAAAUAAAUUUAAAGUGGUAAAGUAGUAUUGCAUAGAAGCAAACAAACAAAUAUACGUUUAUGACUGCAAACCAUUUGAGGCGUACACAUAAUACUAUAAGAGAUACAUAUAUAAAAUGAAACGUUCCUACACAUCUAUUAUAUAUGCAUAUCGCGUACACAUAACUUGUAUUUAAGAAAGUAUAAUUUGAUGACAAGGGAGGUAAAAGAAGAACACCACAGCUCGAUGUGAACUUUAGCAAAUUGAAAUAUCACUACUAUUUGAAUGUUAAGCGACUAGUUAGAGUUUCUCAACUAUAAAUAUACUCUAAAAUCAAGGAAUCAUAAAGAGCCACUAGGGAUUUCACACCGAAGAGUAGUCUCCCCUUAAAUUGGGUUGACAAACCCAUGGCAUCUUCACCAUCUAAUUCAUUUAAUAUUUUCACUCAUAUAUUAAAAUAAUUCAAUAUGAUUCAUUUUUCACAAAAAAACAUAAAAAAUUAUCAUUGUUUUAUUCUCAUGUCAAAAAUGUUAUCAACAGUCCCUCCAUUUACAAUGUAGGUAUGUUAUAAAUAUAUUAUCAUCCAAGAACUUUCACUGACUCACUUGAGCUACGAGGCUUGGCUCAAUACUAUUAAUCACAAAAUUAUACGCAACACACAAAUUCUCAUGAGCAACCUAGUAAUUAAUUGAAAAGAAUGAUUCACUUUUGUACUAACAAGUUGUAAUCCUCAUUAAAAUAUAAAUUACCCAUUCUAUUUAUAUUUUUAUUUGUGGUUUUAAGGUUCCAUUUGUCAAUCAAAAUUUUCAUUUACAAGACAACUUUUUUGGAGCUUUUAUAAUCUAUUAUUUGAGUUUGAUAUGUUUCUUCAACCUAAUUACCUUGUAUUUUGGGAUGGAUUUAUAUCAUUAGGUUGGCCAUUUUUUAUUAUGCUAUUGCUUUUAGACUCAUUGGUAACGAUGAACUAACAUAACUAUAUUAAAAAUUCUAGGAAACAAAAGUAUGUAUAUAUAUAUAUAUAUAUAUAUAUAUAUAUAUAUAUAAAAGUCUUUGGUACUUGGAUUGAGUUUCCUUUUCCCAAGAUUCAAUCUAACUGUGUUUCUGUGCUUCUUUCAAAUUACGUAGUGUUUGGUGCGGUUUUCGACUUGUGUAUGUAAGAAUCACAACAGACAAAUCUGGUGUUUUUCCUUAUUGUACAUGUUGUGGCGUACUUGUGUAGGUGCUAGAGUUAUCAAAGCAUUUGUUUCGUUUCUUCAAUAUUCUAAAGUGGAUAAAAUAUCUAGUACAUAUUUAGGACGAAUAUGGUAAAAUAGUUUAUCAAUUAAUAUAUAUAGGGUGAAACAAGAUCUACCAGGUAUUAAAAAGAUAAUGGUAGCUAUGAUUUGUUUUUUCAUUCUUAAGAGUAUCAUCUAAAUAGAUAUAUUUUGUCAAUAUAUUGUCUAUAAUAUAAGUGUGAUAUUUUAAUUGUUUUCAUACAUUGGUAGAGUAAGAGCAUUUGGAUCAUCUUUUAUAUAUGAUAUUUUAUUUAUGUACGAAAUAUCAUAGAUGAUAUAUUUUUCAUUUUUAAUAAAAUAGUUAUGUCCUCUGUAUAUUUAAAGCAGUUAUAUGUUCAUGAUGCCUUAUUAUAUGUUAACUUAAGGGUGUUAAUAUAAUGUAGGUUUUUGUGUAAUCAUUGAUUAUUAUGAUCAUAAGGAUUAUAAGUAAGAUAAAAGUAUAAUAUUAUUAGGGAAACUAUGAUUAUGAUGAAAACAAAUUACAAGUAUGACAAUCGACUAAGGUUAUGAAUAUGAAUAAAAAUAUAAACAUGACUUUUUCAUACAAACAUAAAUGAUUAGUUAGUGAUAUUUAUGGACUAAGUUUCCAUGACUUAUAGAGAUUAAAUAUGAAGAAUUUCAUAAGAUUUAAUUGAUGUUAUUCCACCAUUAAGUUUAUGAGGUUUAACAAGGUGUAUUACUGGUCCCAUCUUUUAGAAAGGAUAUUAUCAUUAUUUUGAACAUGGCUAAAUGCCACUAUAGUGAUCUAUUCUAGCCAAAAUUAUGGACUGCAAUAAGCUUAAAGCAUUUAGACUCCAUUAGAAGUAACAGGGUGCUUUCACAUUGUUAGCGAGACCAUUUGUGGCAUCAUAAUUUACCAGUUUAAUUGUCAACGCUUAGUUUGAUAUGCAUCAAAUACAUAUGAAUGAUCUGAAAUGAAAUUUAACGAUGAUGUAUAAUAUGAUUGAGUCGAGGAUGUAUGCUGUACUUUUUGUGUGGUGUACUUUUUUCCAUCCCAUUAUUUUGAUUUUCUAGAGUCUUAGUUCCUAUUUAAAAUGAUCCCCAUUAGCAGGGGCUUUGGAUUUUAUUGUGUUGUUGGAGUACCCCUUGUACUCCUUUUUCAAUUUGAUAUAUAUUCCACUAAAAAAAAAUAUUUAAAAUGAUUCUAAUGUGAUUAAAUAAAUUGCAAGGUCGAAGAAUUACAUGAAAGAUUAGAGAAUUAUGUUUUACCUUAGUCGGUCAAGGAAAGACAAAUACUGUUGAUGCACUCCAUGGGAUAUGGAUUGUCAGGAAAAAAUUUCAGGCAAUCGUCAUCAGUAUCACACACUACUGUAAGGUAAAUAAAGAUAAAGAAAUAUUACUAAAUAUAAAAGAAAUGUGUUGUCUAAGAUAAAAAAUAAUAAUAAUAGAAUGAGCUUACAUUCGCCAUAAAUUACAAUAAAAUACAAAGAAACAAAAAGGAUCGCAUUAUAAAUAAACUUGAGAAUUUCAGCCAUUCUAUUAAUAAAAAGGAUUUGCAUAUAUCAAAUGUUGAAUUGUCUGAUCACUUUAUAUAAUAAAAAAUUUCAUCCAAUGUUUACAUAAAGUAAAUAUUUUUUAACAACUCUUCGUUUGGACAAAAUUCCUCACAAAUAUAAUUAUUAUUAAAUAUAAUUAAAUUAAAUUUGUGUAUCAUGUUUGUCCCUUUAACCCAUGUAAUAUACAUUACAUAAAAAUGUUGUUUGUAAUUAUAGUUAAAACCAAUUCACUAAUAUUCAAUUAAUUUUUAUUACUUAUCUAGAAUUUCAGAAUAUAUAUAUUAUGGUUGACAAAUGAUUCCCUCCAAUCCUUCUUAAAAUUAGAAACGUAAGGUGGAAACAACUUCUUACCUGGAUGCGCAAUUAUAGACACCCAAGACAUCUUAUCCACACCCUUGGUCCCAUGAAAGUAAAAGAAAGCGCCAACAGAAGGUUCCAUCCCCAACGCCUCGCACAAAAUUGCAAAGCCCCGGAUGAAGGCCCGACUAUUGGGUAGAAUUUGAGAGGGAGCCAUAUUCGAAAAUUGCAGAAUGUCCAUAUCAAAAAGGGUGAAAGGAAUUUUUAUCCCAAACUCCUCAAAAGAAUGCGUUGUACAUAUGAAACAUUUUUUUCACACUCUUAGGGGGAUGUAUGCAAACUUUUUCUCCAGGAAAGCAGGGUGUCAACAAAAUGUCUUCCUUCCACCCAGUUGAAGAAAUGAAUAUCUUGGUCCGCAGAAAAUUUACGCUCGCCUUAUCGUGAUAGGAGGAUUUGUAGUGUUGAACAUCACCAGAAAAACCCUUCAUAUCAAGCUCGGAGCCAGACCCAUAAAGUAAACCACCAUCCCUACGAGCCACUACAAGAGGAGAGUAAACAAUGACUUCCUUCCUAACCACUCCCUGGAGUCGAAUACAGGAAAGCACAACCAUUGUCAUCACUAUCAUCAGAACUACUACUACUAUCACUUCCACUCGACAAUUCUUCAAUAAUCAUAUGACAAAAAUAGCUUAACUCAUACGCUCCACAAUCGAUAAGACCAUUUGGCCGCGUAGCAUGCCUCAAACACGCUCCUCAGUUUUUCCUUUUCAACGGGAUCCGUGGGAAAAAACUCCUUGCCCAAAAACUCCGUACCCUAAAUAAAUACUAAAAAUAGAAGGGAUGAGGAAGAAUAAUACCUGAAAUCAAAAGAGAAAAGCCUUUCCCGGAGUAACAACUGAAUUGGAAGUAAGGUGGAACACAAAGACGAGACAGGCGGCCGGAGAAAAAAGUAAGGAAGAAUUGAAAAAUGAAAGAAAAGGGACUACCUUUAUAAAACAGGCAUUAGAUGUAGCUUCGAGAGAUGCACUGACAAAGGCAUCGAUAGGGGAAACAUAGCGGAAAUUCCAAGAUGAGAGCACAUAGGCACCAACGAAAGGUUGCAAAAUCUGGACCGUUAAAACAAGACAGUAGGAAAAGGAAACAUCUCACCCAAAAACGAUUUAUCAUAAGACGUCGCCAAGGCGGACAGGGGAACAGAGGCUAGAAGAAUAAUCACCACGCCUUGUCCCAAGACUUGUGCUUAGGGGGCUUAUGGACCAUCAUUGUAUCUACAAACAAGGCUCCAAAGGUUGAGAGGCUAGAAGAAUAAUCACCACGCCUUGUCUCAAGACUUGUGUUUAAGGGGCUUAUGGACCAUCAUUGUAUGUGCAAAUAAGGCUCCAAAUUCCAAAAGCUUGACAUCAUCACUACGCCUUGUUCCAAGACUUGUGUUUGGGGGGCUGUGGACCGUCAAUAUACUCCUAAAAGCCUAGGAGACCUCCAGAAGGGCUCCUAGACCCUACUCGAGGGCUUAACAUCCCCAACAAGAGCUCCAAAUCCCAAGGCGCGUCCUCCUCAGGAUGCCGCCUCUAUCCACUUCUAGAAACACCUAGAACUCACUAAAAGUACUUAAUUAUCCUCGUUACUUAACGCCUAAGCAAACCUGAAAUCAGACCCAUAAGUGGCUAUAAAUACCACCCUUGUGAUCACUCUCACAGCAUCCAAUAAUCAGUUUAAAUAACUGUAUAAUACAAUACUGAACCCUGGUACCCAUUAUUGUGCUUUAGCAAGUACACUACCACUUGAUGGUAUCAAAGUAGUCCUUUAAACGAAAAGUUAUUGUAAUAUUAUUUCUUUUUCCACAAGUGUUUAGUUAGAAGUUUAUUGAAAUAAGCUCAUACUAUAUUUGGAUCAGAUGUACAAAAUGUUUAAACAAAUAUGAAAUAGCUUAAAAGAGUUCAGAGGAUUUUCUAUUUUAUAAAAUAUUAUAAUUUCAGUUUGUUAUAUAAAACAACAUUUUAGUUCUUAUUCUUGGGACAGAUUCAAUGUGGGGGCAAUGAGGUCAGCUGAACCCACUUGAAGAAAUAGUUUAAUGUAGGUCAAAACAGUAGAGAAAGAUGAGCUGCAUGUGUGGUAUCACCGUGAUACCAAACAUUCAAAAAGAAAAUGGCAUAUCUUCUGAAAAGAAGUAUUAUCACAUUAUGAUGAAUGAAGACAUGGUUGAGAGGUGAAAAAUUUGGACAAAUGACACAAGAUGACUAUUGGUUGGACACAACGACCUAAUAGAUUCGAUGACUUGAUCAUUGCGCUGAAGUUACACACUCUUACAGUUUCUAGAAAAUUCUAGAAAUUGGGGGCAUUGAAGAGAAGGAAAAGUAUUGUGUAAGUCAUUCAGAAAUAUUGUUAUAAAAUAGUUAGAGAGUGCACUAUCUGGAAGCUUUUUGAGGUCCUUGAUCCUCUAUAGACAGUGCAACUUGAUUCAGUCUAGUUUCCACUAUUGGUUUAUUUUAAUGGUUGAGAUAUGAAUGCUUUUAACCAUUGUAUUAAUCCAAAUGUCUGUUGUUGUCUGACCAGCCACAGAGAAUCUAGGUUCGACUCUUUUUUGAGGUAUUAAUAUAAUUAAAUUUCGGAUUUUGAUUAUCUCCUUUUAUUUUUAUCUCGAUUUAUCUCCUAACUUUAUCAAAAUUCUUAAUGAGAUAUUAAUCUAACUAAAUUAUAGUGUUCAAUGUUGUUCAUCAUGUUGUAGAUUGGUUCUCCUAUUUUGUUAUGGAUUGUUCAUAUUUGAAUGAGAUUUAAAUAAUUUUUUAAUUGAUGAUUUAAAUAAGGGUUAAUAGUGUUUUUCACCCCUGUAAUAUAUGUCAUUUUCGGUUUUCGCCCCUAUAAUAUUUUCGGUUUGAUUUGCAUCCUCGUAAAUAAAAAAAUCCGAAAAACCCCCAUCCCCUGUCCAACUUACUAAAUUUGCUUAUGUGGCGCUGACUUGGUUUUUUAUUUAUAUUUUUAAUUGGCCACAUCGGAUUUUAUUAUUAAAAUUUUUAAAAAUUCAAAAAAUAAUAUAAAUUCAUUUAUAUUAAUUAAAAAAUAUAAAAAUUAUUUAAAAAUUUUGAAAAUUAAUUUUUGAAAAUAAAAAAAUUGUAAAAAUGAAAUAAUUUUUUUUACGGAAUUUUUCUAAAAAAAAUCUGGAAUAUUUUUUUAUUACCAAAAAAAUUAAAAAAAAUAAGAAAAAAAAACUAUAAGAAACCCUAGUUAGUUUCUUAUUAGCAAAAAAUGAAAUCUAGUUAAAAAAAUGAGUAACAAACCUUGUUCUAUUAGCAAAAACUCUUUUCCCCUUCACAUACAAACGAGUAGAACAUCAAUGGCCUUUCAAUUUUUAUUUUUAUUUUCAUUUUCCCCAAUUUCUUCCCAAAACCCUAGUUUCUAAUUGAAAAAGAUGAACAACGGGGUCUAAUACACGUUGUCAAGCCCAAAACGUUGCGUUUCGUGCCCAGUCACCAAGUUAACGACCACAUCAUCGUUAUAUUAACGGACACUGACGGGAAGGACAAUGUUUCUAACAUUCAGAAACUAAAAGGAUCUAAUUAGAACUUCAAAAAAAAUAUUUAAAAGGACUAAUCUGAAACAAACACAAACCUUAAAGCCCGUCGGAUGCAUUUUGCCAAAAGUAUAAAGUAAUUAAUGAUUAUGGGACUAGCUUAGUGAUAGGACCCUCUCUCCAAAUUGUACUAUACUCCAUUUAUUAUGUCAAAUAGAGAGGAUCCUAACCAAGUUUGGAUUAGUUGCAGAAAACCAUGAAAGUGUAAAAGCGCAUAUGAAAAAAGUGAUGCAGGCAGCUGUAAAUGAAACAAGGGAGAUGAUGUACCAUUUUACCAAUUGCUAUUUGAAAAAAUAACAUAAGAGCUGUGAAGCACGAAUACGGACACGACACGGACAUCGACACGUCGACACAGCUAAAUUUUUAAAAAAAUCAUAAAAUGCAGUGUAAUUAUAUGUAUCAAUGUCGGACAUGACACGUGUCUGACAUGGGGAUACGCCUUAUUCAAGGAGUGUUCGUGCUUCAUAGCACAAGAGCUAUAAUCAGGAGUAUCUGCAGUGUUAUGUUCCUUCAUGAAUUUACCAUAAUUUGAUGACAUAUUCAUUAAAGCUAAGAUAGUUAUUAGCAUGGUUCGUGUCAUUAUGAUCAAAGCUACAUGCUCAAACACCUGAUCUCUGUCAAAAAGAAAAUUAAUGAUGAGAUUUGCAACGUAUAUACAUUGGUUACUUUCUUAUUUCUUUCUUUGAACUAAAUGAAAUAGAACAGCGCUAAAUGGUGCGACACAUUGUAUGCACGAAAAUGCAUGACAGCGAGAAAACAUGACAUUUUGACUUUUCUAUCAUGAACUAAAACUUGAUUUGCUCAUAGUAUAGUACAUGCAUUGUCCUUCAUGCAAGAUAUCCUAAAAAUGGUUUUAAAAAAAGCACAUAUUUUAACAAACCACAAUAAUGGUGAAAAGUCUUUGGUUUCAUGGGUACUUGAGAUCAGUGAGUCACAUGGUGGUGAGCACCGUCACAGAAAGCCAAUGGAAAGAUAUAGUCCUUUUUCUAUUUAUUUCUGAAGUGUAAUUUGCCAUGAUGUGGUCAUACUGGAACUUUCGUGUGCCUUCGUGCUUGUUAAUAUGUCGUGCUAUCAAGCAUUUUUCAAUAAAAUAAUUAAAAGCCAAAAAGAAUAUUAAAUGUUUGUAUGAAGAAAAUUAAAGGGAUUGUUGAGGGAAUACCUUGGCUUAACGGGAUCAAGAGAUGAUUCUUUCACCACAGUUAUCUGAUUUUCCACGCGUUUGCAAAAUAUUAUAUACAUUUUUUUGGAGCAAAAUUAAUUGAUGUACAAAUAGAAUAAAACUCAAGAACACGGUGACUAGUCUAAAAACACACAGUCUUACCGAUAAAAUUAGGAUAAUAAAUAGUACUUUCGAGCAAAACCAACUACAGAUUAAAGUGGGAAAAGGUGCUUUUGGUUAAUUUUCUUCUGAUGUUAUUAUUACAUCAAAGAAGACUAUAGAGUCUUUUCUAUCCUAGCCUAUUGGAUCUCGUGACACAUAUCUCAGGAUCCUACAAGAACGGUAACUAACUCUAUAGGCAAGGGAAAUAAGAAAUAUUUUAACGAACUCUCUCAAGACUCUACAAGAACGUUAACUAACUAACUCUAUCGUGCUUUCUUUUUUAUUAUUACUUUUUCCACCGCGCUCUGUAAAUUUUUUAAAAAUGUCCUUGUAUAAUUCAGAUUUUAUAUUCCGAACUAUGCUUAUGUAUAAUCAGCAAUCAGAAUCUCUUACAUUUCAGCAGUUUUGAAUUUUGCUUUUAAAAACAACAAAAAACAAAGUAAAAAAAUACCACCACAAAAUUCUAAAAAUCAAAUAAAACUAAUGCAAAUUUUUUCAAACUUUUCUAAGAAUAUGAAAAAUUAAAAAAAAUUAAAAAUGGUUGUGUCAAGGUAGUGAGUGUGAUCAGAGGAGUUUGUUCUUGUCAGCCUGCUGGUGGAUUUGGCGAGCAAGAAAUCUGUUAUGUAUGGAGGAUGAACACAUUACUAUUUAUCAGCUAAAGAUGGAGGUGUACAAAUUUUCAACCCUCAUUCACAAAACAUGUACUGUUACUUGUCCGGCAAACGAAAGUGGACGAUGGACUUCUUGGCACCCGAUGGAGAGCUCGGCUACGGUGCUUAAUGUUGAUGGUAGCAGCUUCGGUAACCCAGGCAUCUCCGGUUUUUUUAGGAGUUUUAAGAAGGCAUGAUGGCUCUUGGAUAUACGGGUUUGGAGGGAAAAUUGGUAUUGCAUCCAUUCUUCAGGUGGAGUUGCUGGCUAUUUAUCAUGGGUUACGAGUUGCGUGGGAUUAGAGGUAUAGGCAUCUUAUUUGUUUCUCAGACUCAACUUUGGCCUUUCAAUUGGUUAACAUGGAGGUGAAUUCUUGGCACCUCUUUGCACCUGUUAUCAGCAAUAUCAAGGAUCUAAUGGCUCGCGACUGGAAUUUCCAACUGAGUCAUACGUGGUGGGAGGCAAAUGCUACAGCUGAUUUCAUGGUGAAGAUGGGUGCUAGUCUCACCUGAUGCACUCUUCGUGUUCAGUUUGCUCGCCGCUAGAAGCUUUUUAGCUUCCCUGUAGCUUUUAUUUCUUGCUUUUUUUCUUCCUUUCUGUUUAUUUUUACCUUGUUUAAACAAAAAAAAAAAGGCUUAAUACAUCCCUAGGUCCCUUAACUUAUUUUAUUUUCUCAGUUUGGUCCCUUAACUAUUAAUUGUGUCAAUUUGGUCCCAUAAAUCUUUCUCCGUAUACUGUUUUGGUUUUUUUGUUAGUUUUUUAAUGUAUAUUAUUCUUGAUAUCAUUUUAACCACUUGAUUGCAGGUCUAUAGUAUUUAAGAGUGAACCAUCAACACUUGAUUUUUAUAGUUUACUUCAUCUUCUCUCUUCAUCAUACUACACAGAACUUUAAAUCACCUUCAUUGAUCAUAUACAGAAUCAAAAAAAUACUUCAAAUCCUAAAAUCUUAAACACAUCAAAUCCUAAAAUCUUAAACACAUCAACAAAACCUUCUUUAACCUUCAUAAAAAAAGCCCAUAGAAAAUAAAGCUAAUCCACCAUGUUCCCAAAUUAAGAAUACACAAAACCCUUGGUUUCACCGUUGAAAUUGAUUAUUAUAGCAGUAAGGAAUUAUUGCUAAGGAACGAGGAGAUCAUGGAGACAAUUACAAACGACACACAUAAAUUAAUCAAGGUGAAACCUCUCUUCCUUCCCGGAAUUGACAAAGGGAUGCGUAACAACAAAUUUCUUAGAUUGAUUUUAUUGCCGAAUUCGAUUUUGGUGUUGUCAAUGGAUUUGAUGUUGGACUCAGAUUCGUCGCUGGAUUCGAUUGUUGCAAAACUUGAAUUCGUCGCUGGUGGUGUGCUGGUGGUUUUCAUUUGUUAGUUUUUUUUUUUCUUUUCUGAAACUGAUUGGAUUGAUUGUUGUUGCUUUUCUGAAACGAGGAAUUUUAGAUUUUCAGGGGUGGAUUCCCAUAAGAAGCCUCUUCUAAGGGAGUUUUGAACCUUGAUUUUUUUUUUCUUCUGAUUUUCUAGGCAAGUUUCGGAGCAAUCCGAUCAAGUAGUUCAAAAAUCCGAUUUUUGACUAAGAACAACUAACAAUGACCCAAAACAUAAUGAUGAGAGUUAGGAAGAUUAAUAUUGUUCAUAAAAUGAUAAUCUAUGUUACAAACAUGUUUAGAAUUUAUGCUAAUACAGUUCCGAUUAUGUAAUCCGAACUGUUCUUUCCUUGAAAAGGGUGUUUAAGGGGUGUUCGGAUUAUAUAAUCUGAAAAAAUCAAAUGGCGCGCCCUAUUUUUGAAGUUUUCAAAACUCAUUUUUUCACCUAUAACAAAAUAAAAAUUGAAUUCGGAUUAUACAAUCUAAAUUGCUUAAGGACAUUUUCGAAAAAUUUACAAACCGCUAGUAAAGGAUAGGGUGGGUAAAGUAAUAGUCCUACCUUUUUAUCUCUAUGUAGUCUUGGACUCUUGCUACUUCGUUCUUUAUCAUGCCCAUCAUUGACUUUAGGCCCAAUAUUUAUAUGCACCUCCAUAUCAUUGCCUACCCCAUCAAGAUUUACAUUGUUCUCAAGUUUAAGUUGAGAUUAGGGGUGUUCAAAACCGAACCCACCCAAUAGAAAAACCGCAAACCAAACCAAUCCAAAUCGAAACCAUAAAAAACCGCACUUGGUUCGGAUGAAUUCGGAUGACUUUUGUAUUGAACCGCAUGGUUCGGUUUGCGGUUUGCAUCUCAUCAACUGAACCAAACCAAACCAAACCGCAAGAAUAAUGAAUAUUACUUAAAUAUGUACUAGCCCAAUUACAUAGCUCAAGAAUAAUCUCUUUUGAUUCAAUUUUUCCAUUGUUGCACCAUCAGGUUCGAUUCUAAUUCCUUUUCAUCUCUUUCAAUUCAUUUCCACUGAUGAAUUUGUUUCCUUUACUUCCCAAUAAUUUAUUUCAUGCUUAUGUUUCUUCUUAAUUUUACCUAUUUUGAUAUAAGUUUUACCUAAUAUGUUAUCAUAUAAACAUCAAAAUAAAAUGUUCUAUGUUUAUUUUGUAACAAAUUGGCAAUAUUAGAGUUAAUGUAAUAUUUUUUUAUCUCACGCUAAACCGCUCAAACCGAACCAAUCCAAACCGCAUUGGUUUGGUUUGGUUUGGUUUGGAUGACUUUUUAAAAAUCAACUGAACCAAACCAAACCGUAUGCUUUUUUAUCUCGCAGAUGUGUCAGAGGAUAAAUGUUUAUGAAAGAUAAUUAUAAUGGAGAAUAAUUGUCAUGCAAUGUCAUUCAUAUACACAAAGGUUCAGUUAUCAGCAUCAACUUAAGUACGUUUAAGAUGAAUGACAUUUUGAUAACUUUGUCCAGACGGGGUAUUUGUGUGUUUUUCCCCGAAAAUAUCUCAUUUCCCAUUGUUUUUCAUUUCCCAUUUCCUCUCUUCCCUCUCUCUAGAAAUCACUACUCACUCUCCCUCUCUUCACCAAUCAUCCAAAACUUCUCCUUCUCAAGGAUUAAACUUAUGUUAUGGUUCUUACCAUAUUUAAGAAGUCAUUAGAGGCUUGAUUCAAGUUUGAUUCCACUCCUUUUCCUCACAAGAAGAGAUUCAAGACUAUGGUUUGGUUCUUGGCAAAGUUGGAAUUGGAGCAUAAACUUGAUGCAAGGAGUUAAGGUGAGUUCGUAUAGAUUAGUUCCCACCUUUGGGUGUUGUGUGAUUCUUGUGUGAUUUUGUAGGGAAGAACACAUUUUGGUGUUCCUGUGUAGUAAAAAUUGAGGCUCGAUUUUGCCAAAUCGUGGCUCGAUAUUUCCAUAACCAAAAGGCCAUCCUGAAAACUCAAAAUCGAGGCUCGAUUUAGAAAUCAAGGAUCGAUUUACCUAGUGCUGAAAAAUAAUAUUUUUAGUUCAAAAGGCUCUGAAACUUCCCAUUUUAUGUGUCUUAUACAUCCAAAACCAUCAUAGGAGUAAUGUAGACUUUUAGAAGAUUAUUUCAAAGGGCAUAACAUCUAUUGAACAUAUACAUAAUCUAUGAUUUAAUUCAAGAAAGAGCUUUAUAAAUAUGUAUUCGAAUUGCACAUGAGAGUAUGAUCAUGUAUAUGAUAUGUUGGGUAGCAUUCUAUCCCUUAGAGAUGGGCAACAAUAGAUACUCAACCUAGAUAGUUGAGAAUAGAUGUUGAGCGAAGUUAAUUGAUGAUUUGUAGUUGGACUUAUGUGAAGCAUUGUUGAUGAUGAAUUGCUGCUGUUUUGUGUUGUUAAAAUCUUUUACAUGAAUUAUUGCUUAUUAUUAUCGAAUGUGAAAUCUCACCCUUUCUGUUUGAAUGUUACCUCUACGUCGGUAACGUGCAGAUAUUCAAGAGUAACAGCAUAUGUGAGUUAAAUUCUCGUAUCGUCAUAGGAAUCAUGCUCUGAUACGUAACGAGAUGAGGAUUCUUAUGUGUUUUAUUUUCCAUUGUUACGUAUCUUCGUAUAAUUUGAUGUUGGACCACUUUUAGGUGGAUUUUAUUUAUGUUGUUGAUGUUGAGGCCUUAGUUCCAAGUAAUGUUUAAAGAUUAAAUAUUUCCGCUGCGACAUUAUUUUGAAUUAUUGAAAGCAAUUGUUUAAAUAAAUAGUAAAUUUAACUUUAUUUGUGUUAAAUGAUAUUUUGAAGAAUGAAAUGUGACAUCCUGUUUAAGAUGAACUCUAAUUUAUUUUAUAUUAUUUAUAUGUUGGGAAAACGGAGUGUUACAAUCCGCACAGAUUAUUAAGAUUAACAACCCGAAAUUCUUCUUCUGUCCACAACAUUUCUAAUUUCUUAAUUAUAGUUAAUGAAAUAAAGUAUGAAACCUCAUGUUUUCUAAUAUUUCCUUCGUGGAACGUUGUAACUUUAAUUAGGGUAACUUACCGCACAUGUUGUCGUUAGGGUAAAUAGAUGUUCUAAAACCAGUUUCCUAAAUCAUAAGUAGACACCACAUAACUGAUGUUGUAUCAAGUUAAUUCCAACAAAGACGGGGGGGAGAGAUUCAAGAAUUCCUUAAUCGCUGUUAACUAUCUAAAUCACAACCCUAAUCUCGCAAUGGCCAUAUAAAUCAAAUCCCGCAACCCUCUUUUCUAUUUACUCUUUUAAUAUGUUUUUCUAAUUCCAAUGUUGAACUACAAUCCCUAUGGAGACGAUUAACUUACUACUUUAUUAAUUGUUACGAUUUGGUGCACUUGUCAAUUUCGUCCAUCAGGUAGAUUGUCAUAUUUUUACCAUGCUUAUCUCACCAUCCAUGGAACCGAGUAUUUAGUUUUAUUUUGUAUUAUAUGUUAUAUAGUUUAUAUUCAUCGUGUUUGGGGUGAUGCUUUUUGUAGUUUAUAACAUUAAAAUUCUGAUGAGUAUUUGAGUAUGCUUGUCAGGAUCCAUAUAUAAAUAACAUUGGAUUUUCGAGUCAAAGUUAGAGGUUUAUAACUUGGAAGUUUUAUUUAUUUGUCAAAUUAUUUCUCGUCAAUAUAUUAACACUUAUUGUUAAAAAAAAAUUCACAUUAUUGUUAAGAUUUACGUUUGAUAAUAUCUAUAAUUUGAAGAUUUAAUUUCUAUUGUUAAAGCCUUAUAUAAACUUGGGAGUUUAAAUUUUCAUGUAGCCUAAGAUAUCACAUCAUGACAAGUAGAAAUUUAAUUCCAUAACUCAAAAUAAAAUAUUUUUCCUUAUUAGAGCCUUACAAUUAUCCAUAAUAUAAAAUAAAAUAUGUAAUGUUUUCUUAGUUUCCAAGAUAAUAAGUCAAGAUCAAAUUAUUAAACUUGUCCCUGAUGUCACAAUAUCAGUGACUAGAACCCUAUUUAAACAUAAACACUGAUCAAUAAAACUUUAAAUAAAAAUAUAAUAUAGGUGAGAUCAUAAAUAUCCACUUUAUUCUUAUACACAAACACAUUGAUAUCACUCCUCAAUCUUGUUUUGAGGAUAACCUGCAUAUAAUAAUAGAAAAGAAACAUGUAGAAAAUAGGGGGUGAGAUUUUAUAAUAGAAAAAGAUAUGUUUGAAUAUAAUAUAUAGAGAAAUAGGAUAUAAGUGGGUAGUUGGAAUGGAACCCGUAUCAUUAGCUUGGAUGGCUAGGGUUUAUAGUCAAUGAAAGUUUCUAUUUAAAAAUUGAACGUGAAAAUUUUGUUUCAUUUAGGGCCUUUGUAGAAUAAUUUAAGAGAUAGAUGGAAUACAUGAAGAAGAAAAUGGCAAUUAACAUCUAUGCAAGCCUUUCGGUAUGAAUACAUAUGUUAAAAUAAAUUUAAAGUGGUAAAGUAGUAUUGCAUAGAAGCAAACAAACAAAUAUACGUUUAUGACUGCAAACCAUUUGAGGCGUACACAUAAUACUAUAAGAGAUACAUAUAUCAAAUGAACCGUUCCUACACAUCUAUUAUAUAUGCAUAUCGCGUACACAUAACUUGUAUUUAAGAAAGUAUAAUUUGAUGACAAGGGAGGUAAAAGAAGAACACCACUGCUCGGUGUGAACUUUAGCAGAUUGGAAUAUCGCUACUAUUUGAAUGUUAAGCGACUAGUUAGAGUUUCUCAACUAUAAAUAUACUCUAAAAUCAAGGAAUCAUAAAGAGCCACUAGGGAUUUCACACCGAAGAGUAGUCUCCCCUUAAAUUGGGUUGACAAACCCAUGGCAUCUUCACCAUCUAAUUCAUUUAAUAUUUUCACUCAUAUUAAAGUAACUCAAUAUGAUUCAUUUUUCACAAAGUAACAUAAAAAAUUAUCAUUGUUUUAUUCUCAUGUCAAAAAUGUUAUCACCAGUCCCUCCAUUUACAAUGUAGGUAUGUUAUAAAUAUAUUAUCAUCCAAGAACUUUCACUGGCUCACUUGAGCUACGAGGCUUGGCUUAAUACUUGUAAUCACAAAAUUAUACGCAACACACAAAUUCUCAGGAGCAACCUUGUAAUUAAUUGAAAAGAAGGAUUCACUUUUGUACUAACAAGUUGUAAUCCUCAUUAAAAUAUAAAUUACCCAUUCUAUUUAUAUUUUUAUUUGUGGUUUUAAGGUUCCAUUUGUCAAUCAAAAUUUUCAAUUACAAGACAACUUUUUUGGAGCUUUUAUAACCUAUUACCUUGUAUUGGGAUGGAUUUAUAUCAUUGGGUUGGCCAUUUUUUAUUAUUCUAUUGCUUUUAGACUCAUUGGUAACGAUGAACUAACAUAACUAUAUUAAAAAUUCUAGGAAACAAAAGUGUGUGUGUGUGUGUGUAUAUAUAUAUAUAUAUAUAUAUAUAAAUAAGUCUUUGGUACUUGGAUUGAGUUUCCUUUUCCCAAGAUUCAAUCUAAAUGUGUUUCUGUGCUUCUAUAGAAUUACGUAUUGUGUAGACGUGGUUGGUGCGGUUUUCGACUUGUGUAUGUAAGAAUCACAACAGACAAAUCUGGUGUUUUUCCUUAUUGUACAUGUUGUGGCGUACUUGUGUAGGUGCUAGAGUUAUCAAAGCAUUUGUUUCGUUUCUUCAAUAUUCUAAAGUGGAUAAAAUAUCUAGUACAUAUUUGGGACGAAUAUGGUAAAAUAGUUUAUCAAUUAAUAUAUAUAGGUGAAACAAGAUCUACCAGGUAUUAAGAAGAUAAUGGUAGCUACAAUUUGUUUUUUCAUUCUUAAGAGUAUCAUCUAAAUAGAUAUAUUUUGUCAAUAUAUUGUCUAUAAUAUAAGUGUGAUAUUUUAAUUGUUUUCAUACAUUGGUAGCGUAAGAGCAUUUGGAUCAUCUUUUAUAUAUGAUAUUUUAUUUAUGUACGAAAUAUCAUAGAUGAUAUAUUUUUCAUUUUUAAUAACAUAGUUAUGUCCUCUGUAUAUUUAAAGCAGUUAUAUGUUCAUGAUGCCUUAUUAUAUGUUAACUUAAGGGUGUUAAUAUACUGUAGGUUUUUGUGUGAUCAUUGAUUAUUAUGAUCAUCAGGAUUAUAAGUAAGAUAAAAGUAUAAUAUUAUUAGGGAAACUAUGAUUAUGAUGAAAACAAAUUACAAGUAUGACAAUCGACUAAGGUUAUGGAUAUGAAUAAAAAUAUAAACAUGACUUUUUCAUACAAACAUAAAUGAUUAGUUAGUGAUUUUUAUGGACUAAGUUUCCAUGACUUAUAGAGAUUACAUAUGAAGAAUUUCAUAAGAUUUUAUUGAUGUUAUUCCACCAUUAAGUUUAUGAGGUUUUACAAGGUGUAUUACUGGUCCCAUCUUUUAGAAAGGAUAUUAUCAUUAUUUUGAACAUGGCUAAAUGCCACUAUAGUGAUCUAUUCUAGCCAAAAUUAUGGACUGCAAUAAGCUUAAAGCAUUUAGACUCCAUUAGAAGUAACAGGGUGCUUUCACAUUGUUAGCGAGACCAUUUGUGGCAUCAUAAUUUACCAGUUUAAUUGUCAACGCUUAGUUUGAUAUGCAUCAAAUACAUAUGAAUGAUCUGAAAUGAAAUUUAACGAUGAUGUAUAAUAUGAUUGAGUCGAGGAUGUAUGCUGUACUUUUUGUGUGGUGUACUUUUUUCCAUCCCAUUAUUUUGAUUUUCUAGAGUCUUAGUUCCUAUUUAAAAUGAUCCCCAUUUGCAGGGGCUUUGGAUUUUAUUGUGUUGUUGGAGUACCCCUUGUACUCCUUUUUCAAUUUGAUAUAUAUUCCACUAAAAAAAAUUAUUUAAAAUGAUUCUAAUGUGAUUAAAUAAAUUGCAAGGUCGAAGAAUUACAUGAAAGAUUAGAGAAUUAUGUUUUACCUUAGUCGGUCAAGGAAAGACAAAUACUGUUGAUGCACUCCAUGGGAUAUGGAUUGUCAGGAAAAAAUUUCAGGCAAUCGUCAUCAGUAUCACACACUA